CAGAGUGUAGCUCAGUUGGAUAGAGCACCACUAUGGGGUAGUGGGGGCCGCUGGUUCAAGUCCAGUCACUCUGACCA
rnacentral:tRNA from 1 species